rnacentral:rRNA from 1 species
UGAGGAAUAUUGGUCAAUGGGCGAGAGCCUGAACCAGCCAUCCCGCGUGCAGGAAGACGGCCCUAUGGGUUGUAAACUGCUUUUUCGCCUGAAGAACACCCCUGACGUGUCAGGGGCUGACGGUAACGCUUGAAUAAGCACCGGCUAACUCCGUGCCAGCAGCCGCGGUAAUACGGAGGGUGCAAGCGUUAUCCGGAUUUAUUGGGUUUAAAGGGUGCGUAGGCGGUUAUAUAAGUCAGUGGUGAAAUCCUGCAGCUCAACUGUAGAACAGCCAUUGAAACUGUAUGACUUGAGUAAUCUUGAGGUAGGCGGAAUGUGUAGUGUAGCGGUGAAAUGCUUAGAUAUGACAUAGAACACCCAUUGCGAAGGCAGCUUACUACGCAUAUAUUGACGCUGAGGCACGAAAGCGUGGGGAUCAAACAGG